rnacentral:rRNA from 1 species
UACGUAGGGAGCGAGCGUUGUCCGGAUUCAUUGGGCGUAAAGAGCUCGUAGGCGGCUUGAUAAGUCGGAUGUGAAACCUCCAGGCUCAACCUGGAGUCGCCAUCCGAUACUGUCAUGGCUAGAGUCCGGUAGGGGCCCACGGAAUUCCUGGUGUAGCGGUGGAAUGCGCAGAUAUCAGGAGGAACACCGGUGGCGAAGGCGGGUCUCUGGGCCGUUACUGACGCUGAGGAGCGAAAGCGUGGGGAGCGAACAGG